GACGAACGCUGGCGGCGUGCCUAACACAUGCAAGUCGAGCGGGGUUGAGGCGAGAGGUAACUCGAACUUCUACCUAGCGGCGGACGGGUGAGUAACGCGUGGGCAACCUGCCUCAAGGUUUGGGAUAACAGCCCGAAAGGGCUGCUAAUACCGGAUAUGCCUAUGGCCUCGCAUGGGGCUAUGAGCAAAGGGGAAACCCGCCUUGAGAUGGGCCCGCGUCCCAUCAGCUAGUUGGUGAGGUAACAGCUCACCAAGGCGACGACGGGUAGCCGGCCUGAGAGGGUGACCGGCCACACUGGGACUGAGACACGGCCCAGACUCCUACGGGGGCAGCAGUGGGGGAUCUUGCACAAUGGGCGAAAGCCUGAUGCAGCGACGCCGCGUGAGCGAAGAAGGCCUUCGGUUGUAAGCUCUGUCUGGAGGGACGACGAAAUAGACGGUACCUCCGGACGGAAGCCACGGCGUAACUACGUAGCCAGCAGCCGCGGUAAAGUCGACGUCG
rnacentral:rRNA from 1 species